rnacentral:lncRNA from 1 species
AGAAAGCAAGAGAGUCAGAUCUCCUGGGUGAUAGGCCAGAGAUAUGUCACAAUCCCUUCUGUUGACAGGUCCCAAACAAGGAGUUACAUCACCUGGGUGCUUGGCUCAGUGAUAUGUCACAAUGCCCAGUGUAGGCAGGGACAGGCAGGAGAGUCACAUUACCUGGGUGCUUGGCCCAGUGGUAUGUCACAAUCCCUUAUGUAGGGAGGGCACAGGUAGCAAAAGACUGUCACAUCAUCUAGUUGCUGGACUAGAGCUAUUGGUCUCUCGGUCGUUCAGGGAGAGGGUUAGGAUCUCCUUAGACAUCCAUGUAACAGAGCCCCAACUCAUCCGUGCUCAGAAGCAAAGGCCAGUGGAGACCAAAUAAGGCUUGAAAGGUAAGUCCCUUAAAAAGGCAGAAUGUCUUGGCCUUUGGCCUCUCCCCUUCAAGCACAACCAGAUCAUCACCUCUCUUCUGACUUCUCACUAUGCCCAGCACUGGAAAAAUGCUCUUGACUUCACCCCUUUGCUUCUCCACACCCCCUGCACUCUUACUGGGCAGACCAGAGACUAGGAGACCCAAACUCCAGCACGCACAGCCAGAGGAGAAGUGAAUCCAAAGUGGCUGGUGGCGGUGAGGCUUGAGCUCUCACAGGUGUCCCAGCCUAAAGCUGCAGGCCCAGGUUGUGGUUCAGGUGGCACUCGAUGCAGGUGCUGAGAUGCUGCUGAAAGGCCUGGAAUAGCCUCUGCGGCUGCCACUUCUUCCUUUUCUUAAGUGCUGAAAACGUGAACACUUUCCCAAGAUUUUCAGAUAUGCCCAGGUGCCCCCAGCUGAAGGUGGGGAUAAUGACAUUCUUCAGCAUGGUUUAUUGCCCAGGGAGCAACCAGCCCCAACCUCGCCACCCCAGCUGCCCCAGGCUGGAGGCGAUUCUGUCAAGCCUCUGCCCUGCAACUCCACUCCUUUUCUUCUUCCUCAACCACCAGCAUACUUUUGAUCAUCGUCCCUGUCGUCACAAUGGGGCGCCUGACACCAAGGAGACCCUGGAAACCCACUGAACUCAGGCCCUGCAGGGGUCAGGUGAACAUGUAGGAAGUCCAGGAGAAAAGUCAUCUGCCGUCUCCAGAAUGAACAGCAUUCCAGGAAGAACUCCCCCACACUCCAGGAAGAAGUCAUGAGCCCAGUGGGGAGGCAGGUCCAGCCUGCAACAACUUAGACAUAUGCGGUGCUCCAUAGCUCAUGCUUGUGUCCUGCAGGCAGGAGCACACAUCAGGGUCCGCAGUCUUUGUUCUGGGUGUGGAAUUAGUGCUUCAGCUGGUUCCCCAGGUGUCCCCAGAGGGGGAAAGGGUGGAAAAGGUAAGAAUCUUCAGCACAGCAGAUCGCCUUGCCCUGGCAGCGACCAGCCCUGCCCCUGAGGGGCACCAGCAGCCCCCAACUAGAGGCAGUCAUGUCAGGCCUCCUCCCUACAGCAACUCUCCUGCCUUUUUUUUUCUUUUUUUCACCGCCCUAACCCCCUACUUUUGGUCAUCCUCCUUGUCACAAUGGGGCACCUGCACUGUAGAGACUCUAGAAACACGCAGAUCUGGGGUCCUGCAGCGUCCAGGCUAACAUGCCAGGAAUCAGAGAGAAAAGUCCUCUGAAGCCUCCAGAAGGAAGGGAACAGGACCCGUCACUGCAGGAAGAAGUGGGGCACCCAGUGGCAGAUGGAGGCCCCACGCACUGCAGAGGUAAAUGUGUAAGGCGCUCCCUGGCCCGCGCCUGUUUCCUGGAUGCUGGAGUCCGUGACCAGGCCUGGGGUGGCCCUUCCACACACAGAAUAAGCUGUUGGGCUGGCUGCCUCACCCAGCACCCGGGCCGCGCCAGAGAGUAUCUCAGAUGCUGCUUUCCUGCCACCUCAGCGACCCCAGUAACACUUCUCCCACAGGGACUCCGCCGUGCCCAGCUCUCCAGCCUGGGGAUUCUCAUCACCCAGUGAUUCCAAAAGAAACGAUCUACAAUGUUAUGACCAAAUGCCAGAAACAAACAAACAAAAUAUCUGAGGGCAGUCCAUUGGUCACUUCCAUUUUUCAAAGGUGACAAUUGUCCCUCCUUGAAAUCUUGAGAGUGCAUGAACAGGCUAUUCUAAUAGAUGUGCAAUUUGCACUAAAACUGAUUGAAGAGCAAAUUCUGAUUCCAAGGUACUUUGUAUUCUCAAAUUGCCUCUGCUGCCCCUGGCCCCCUCAAAAUGGAAGAGUGAGGACUACUUGACAUCUUAGCACUGUGCGGACAUAGAGCCUUACAUGGAGGUGUGUCAAAAACGGCAUUCCAUAAAGGGCUGUCACUUCCAAUUUUCAAGCAAGGACCUGUCAGAAUCCCACCCUUCCUUCUGUCUCCCAUCGAAGUCCUCCAGGAAAUGCAGCUGUUUCAGUGACAGGGGGUGAUUGCCAUCUUCCAACUGAGGAGGAAUUUGGGGUUUUGGUCCAGUCCAUGAAGUGUGACACAGUCAGAAUAAAAGGUGAGGGCCUAACAGAUUAGCAGACGGUAGGAGAAGACUAUCUUGCAGCCAGCUUCAGAGAGCCUGUGGCCAUGGCUCCCAGGUCAACAUUAGGCCCUGUUGCCUGGGAACCCCUGGGCAGGCAGUGGGAAGGUUGAGGUGUGGCUCCUGGUAGCCUCAGAACUGCCACUAUUUCCUGAAGCUCCUACUUGUUCUGUCAGCUAAGCCCCCAUCCCAGUAGGCCAGCAACACCCUCAAGACCAAGAACAGGCCAUGGUGAAUCUCAGGGCCACUAAGUACCUGGGCUGGCAGGGGCAGAGUGCCUCAGGGCUCAGUGUUGUUUGGGCUGAGCAUG